GGAACCUGAUCCAGCAAUGCCGCGUGUGCGAAGAAGGCCUUCGGGUUGUAAAGCACUUUUGUCAGGGAAGAAAUCCUUUGGGCUAAUACCCUAGGGGGAUGACGGUACCUGAAGAAUAAGCACCGGCUAACUACGUGCCAGCAGCCGCGGUAAUACGUAGGGUGCAAGCGUUAAUCGGAAUUACUGGGCGUAAAGCGUGCGCAGGCGGUUGUGUAAGACAGGUGUGAAAUCCCCGGGCUUAACCUGGGAAUUGCAUUUGUGACUGCACGACUAGAGUGUGUCAGAGGGGGGUGGAAUUCCACGUGUAGCAGUGAAAUGCGUAGAUAUGUGGAGGAACACCAAUGGCGAAGGCAGCCCCCUGGGAUAACACUGACGCUCAUGCACGAAAGCGUGGGGAGCAAACAGGAUUAGAUACCCUGGUAGUCCACGCCCUAAACGAUGUCAACUAGUUGUUGGGGAUUUACUUCCUUGGUAACGUAGCUAACGCGUGAAGUUGACCGCCUGGGGAGUACGGCCGCAAGGUUAAAACUCAAAGGAAUUGACGGA
rnacentral:rRNA from 1 species